rnacentral:lncRNA from 1 species
UAAAAAAGACAAUUAUGUGCAUGAGAUAAAUAUCGGUGAUGAUGAUGAUAGCAAACUAUUUAUUUUUGUUUCGAUAUGUGAUGUAUGAUGUGUAAGUAGAAUUCCGUAAUUUUAAAUUUGUUUAAAUUAAAAACUCUGUAUUAGAGAUGGCUAUUUUGGAUGCCUGCGUGCACAAGCCAAUUUAUUUGGAGACAUGCGUGUCUCAAUAGGUUAGAAAUAAAAGUUAUCAAAUAUAAUUUAUUUUAUUUUAUUUUUAUUGUUAGAUUUUAUAUUUGUAUGAUUGUGCGUCAUUGGUUGAUUGGUUGCAAGCCGAAAAAUACGCAAAGC